GUAGCGUGAGAGGCGCCGGGGCAGCCGGCGCGCCCACCCCGGAGCCUUCGUGCGGCCGCGCGCGGCCGCCCCUCUGAGGCCAGCGGUGCAGAAAGCUCAGCUGCUUGUCACCACCCCGCCGUCUUCAGGCUGCGAGAAACCGGCCUCCGGACGUCAGCUAAUAACCUGACCUCCCAAGCGGUGGCCUUCGUCCCUUCCGGCCUCGGCAUGUUCUGCCCCUCAUCGCCCCCUGACGCACAGCUGCUACCACCCCCAGCCCUCCUCCAGAGUCGGGAGGACGCAAGGUCGCUGGGGUCAGUCGCCCGGCAACGCCGCUCGCCUCCUUGCGCCCGCGCGCGCCGGAUUCCCGGCAGACGGGACAUCCCCCCCUGCGCGCGCCCCUUCCCCGUGCCUCCCUCUGCGUAACACCGCAGUGGCUUCCGACCGAACGCCCGAGCACGGCAGGCUGCGGGCAAGCGCUGGGACCGCGCGGGAAGCCGAGAAUGGUGCGCGGGAAGCCGAGAAUGGUCCGCGAGGCGAGACCGAUUCUUUGCCCCGUCGCCUGAGCUCUUUGCUGUUACACCAGGGGAGCUGGGCACUUUUCGGCGUUAAAAUGAGGGCGUCAGCCUUUGAGGCUCAACUCGGCGGCUGGGGCUGGGCGGAAUCAAGGAUUCCUCUCGGGAUUAAGCAGCCGGGUCGGCACGCGAGGCGGAAGCCCGGAACAGUCCAUUGGGACAUUCAUCACUGAAGAACUACAUCAUCAUUUUUAACAGCUGCACAGUCCUCUUGUUUGAUAAGUCAAUUUAUUUCAUUUUGUUAUUUCUGAUUUUUAAACAUUAUAAACCAGACUGUGAUGAACACUAAGUAUAUGUGCUAACAAGAAAGAACUUUCCCAGAA